rnacentral:rRNA from 1 species
AGACAACUCUCAACAACGGAUAUCUUGGCUCUC